AGCGAACGCUGGCGGCAGGCCUAACACAUGCAAGUCGAACGAAGUCUUCGGACUUAGUGGCGGACGGGUGAGUAACACAUGGGAACGUGCCUUUAGGUUCGGAAUAACUCAGGGAAACUUGUGCUAAUACCGAAUGUGCCCUUCGGGGGAAAGAUUUAUCGCCUUUAGAGCGGCCCGCGUCUGAUUAGCUAGUUGGUGAGGUAAAGGCUCACCAAGGCGACGACCAGUAGCUGGUCUGAGAGGAUGAUCAGCCACAUUGGGACUGAGACACGGCCCAAACUCCUACGGGAGGCAGCAGUGGGGAAUCUUGCGCAAUGGGCGAAAGCCUGACGCAGCCAUGCCGCGUGAAUGAUGAAGGUCUUAGGAUUGUAAAAUUCUUUCACCGGGGACGAUAAUGACGGUACCCGGAGAAGAAGCCCCGGCUAACUUCGUGCCAGCCGCCGCAGUAAAAC
rnacentral:rRNA from 1 species